UGCCUACGGGAGGCUGCAGUAGGGAAUAUUGCUUAAUGGGCGAAAGCCUGAAGCAGCAACGCCGCGUGUGCGAUGAAGGCCUUCGGGUUGUAAAGCACUUUUAGCAGGGAAGAGGAAGGACGGUACCUGCUGAAUAAGCCUCGGCUAACUACGUGCCAGCAGCCGCGGUAAAACGUAGGAGGCGAGCGUUAUCCGGAUUUACUGGGUGUAAAGCGCGUGCAGGCGGUUGGUUAAGUUGGAUGUGAAAGCUCCUGGCUCAACUGGGAGAGGUCGUUCAAGACUGACUGACUGGAGAGCAGUAAGGGAAGGUGGAAUUCCGGGUGUAGUGGUGAAAUGCGUAGAUAUCCGGAGGAACACCAGUGGCGAAGGCGGCCUUCUGGACUGCUUCUGACGCUCAGACGCGAAAGCUAGGGGAGCAAACGGGAUUAGAUACCCCUGUAGUCU
rnacentral:rRNA from 1 species